AAACCGUUGAAAGGGAAGCGAAUGGAGUUAGCAAUUCGCCUCGCAAGAUUCAGUCUUCCGAGUUCCGUGACGCGCGUGCUCUCGAUCUUUGUAGACGAGACGUGCGCGGACGCGGGACCUGGGCGGCGCACUUCCGACAGGCGAGCGUCAACGUCGGUUGGCCGCGGGUUACAAGGCCGCGAGGAAGGUAGGUCGCCUCUUGCGGCGACUGUUAAUCCUCGCGAUCGCAUGACUCGCGGGCGACCGUGGCGUCCCGACCCGGGCCUCCCUCUUCUGAGGGGGGCUGGUGUCCUGUUCUGUUGAUUCGGUUGUCGACCGUGGCGGAAGGCACGCCCGUGCGCUCGAACCGCUUCCGGUCAACAGGGCGGUGAUUACGCACCACGCGUCGAGGUCGUUGACCACCAUACCGCUCUUUUCCACCCGUCUUGAAACACGGACCAAGGAAUCUAACAAGUGCGCGAGUCUCCCGGUGAUCGAAACCUGUGGGCACAAUGAAAGUAAAAGCGGCCUSCGCCGCUUAGGUGAGAAGUGUGCUCCGCACACCGCAUCAUCGACCGACCUAUUCUACUCUUAGAAAGGUUUGAGUAAGAGCGUACCUGUUGGGACCCGAAAGAUGGUGAACUAUGCCUGAAUAGGGUGAAGCCAGCGGAAACACUGGUGGAAGCUCGUAGCGAUUCUGACGUGCAAAUCGAUCGUCGAAUUUGGGUAUAGCGGCGAAAGACUAAUCGAACCAUCUAGUAGCUGGUUCCCUCCGAAGUUUCCCUUAGGAUAGCUGGAGCUC
rnacentral:rRNA from 1 species